UAACUGUUUAUCAGGUGAUAAAAUUCGUUUCUGAUUUAAAGAUAAAAAGACCCAACAUUGAAGUGAGCGGCCAAGAAAAAAACUAGAAGCUAGCUCAAUUUUCAUUAGAUUUUGCUUCCUCAGUAAUCCUACAAAACUUAUUACUAAGUUGAGUAUCUGGGGUUACUUUACCUCCAUAAGUGAUCUUCUUGUUACAUUUGUAUCUUUUGAAUCAAUUUCACUGAAUAUUAUAUUGAACAUCUUUUCCAAUUUUACCUUAAAUAUCUCAGUGCACUUUUAAUAUAUUAAAUCUUCAAAGCUGACGUAGUAU
rnacentral:lncRNA from 1 species